AGGAAAUAGAUACCCUGGUAGUCCACGCCCUAAACGAUGCGCACUAGACCGCAGCGGCUCUGACGUCGUUGUGGUCGCAGAGAAAUUGAUAAGUGCGCCGCCUGGGGAGUACGGUCGCAAGGCUAAAACUCAAAGAAAUUGACGGGGGCUCACACAAGCGGUGGAGCAUGUUGCUUAAUUCGAAGCAACGCGAAGAACCUUACCUGGGUUUGACAUGCACGGAUUAACCUCCGGAAACGGAGGCCACGCCCGCAAGGGUGGAACGUGCACAGGUGCUGCAUGGCUGUCGUCAGCUCGUGCUGUGAAGUGUCGGGUUAAGUCCCUUAACGAGCGCAACCCUUGUCGCUAGUUGCUAACAGGUAAUGCUGAGGACUCUAGCGAGACUGCCGGUGUCAAACCGGAGGAAGGCGGGGAUGACGUCAAGUCCUCAUGGCCCUUACAUCCAGGGUUGCAAACGUGCUACAAUGGCGUGCACAAAGCGAAGCGAGGCCGCGAGGCGGAGCAAAUCGCAGAAAA
rnacentral:rRNA from 1 species